UACGUAGGGGCAAGCGUUGUCCGGAUUUAUUGGGCGUAAAGAGCGUGUAGGCGGCUAGGUAGGUCCGUUGUGAAAACUCGAGGCUCAACCUCGAGACGUCGAUGGAAACCAUCUAGCUAGAGUCCGGAAGAGGAGAGUGGAAUUUCGUGUGUAGGGGUGAAAUCCGUAAAUAUACGAAGGAACGCCAAAAGCGAAGGCAGCUCUCUGGGUCCCUACCGAGCUGGGGUGCGAAAGCAUGGGGGAGCGAACAGG
rnacentral:rRNA from 1 species